rnacentral:rRNA from 1 species
UACGUAGGGUGCGAGCGUUGUCCGGAAUUAUUGGGCGUAAAGAGCUUGUAGGCGGUUUGUCGCGUCUGCCGUGAAAUUUCGGGGCUCAACCCCGAACUUGCGGUGGGUACGGGCAGACUAGAGUGUGGUAGGGGAGACUGGAAUUCCUGGUGUAGCGGUGAAAUGCGCAGAUAUCAAGAGGAACACCGAUGGCGAAGGCAGGUCUCUGGGCCGAUACUGACGCUGAGGAGCGAAAGCGUGGGGAGCGAACAGG